rnacentral:rRNA from 1 species
UACGUAGGGGCCUAGCGUUGUCCGGAAUUAUUGGGCGUAAAGAGCUCGUAGGCGGUUCGGCAAGUCGGAUGUGAAAUCUCCACGCUUAACGUGGAGGGGCCAUUCGAAACUGCUGUGACUCGAGUCCGGUAGGGGAGUGUGGAAUUCCCGGUGUAGCGGUGAAAUGCGCAGAUAUCGGGAGGAACACCAGUAGCGAAGGCGAGCACGCUGG